AGCUGCAUGCAGGAGGUGGUGGAAGAGCUGGUGGAUGGCUUCGGGUACUCCAUCUCCCUGGACAGGGGCCAGCUGCACCGCGCCACCAUCAAUAAUCAGGGCUGCUCUGAGGUCCCAUCUACCCUCCAUCCCGGGCGAUGCCCUCAUCCCCUUUGGGACACAUGGAGGCAGCUUGGCCCAUUGAGUGCAGGAUGCUGGAGGACAGGACCACCUCCCAAAGUGAGUGGUCUUUGGGUCGAGAAGGAGGGCCUCCUGUCCCUAGCAAACAGGGUGCGGGGCGAGGAUGGAGGCUGUGGCCGCGUCAGGCCUGGGAGAACCCUGCAUCUCACCCAUCUUUUGAUUCCCAUGGGAGGGCUGAGUUCUGGUGGCUUCCGCUCCGGCAGGACUGGACUCAAAGAGAGCUGUGCAUGGGUCCGAGGCCCCUUGAGAAUUGGAAGGGAGGCUGGGCUGCGUUGUCCCCUAGAGACCCACUCCCAGCAGAGUCCCAGCUCCUCCUGCCUCCCUUUCUCCACAUCCACCCCUUGUGAGCACCACUGCCAGGUCCAUAGUAGGAGGUGUGUGAGCAAGCUGCUCCCAAAUCUGCCGGAGUCUUCAUUCCAGUGGCCCACAUGCAUGCAGGGCUUGGGUGGGCUGUGUCCAGACCCUUGGGGAGGAGAGUGUGGGUGGGAAAAAGAGACUCACAGACUCUGUAUUCAGCCUGCUGGAUGAGCAGGCCUGCCACAGCCAGGACAGCCAGCCAGGGCUCAGGGCUGGGAUGGGGCCCUCCUCUGGAGGGGGAGGGUCUGGCACAGGGGCGCAGAUGCUAACAAGAGUGCCUUGGGAGGGCGGUGUUUAAGGAAAGGCCAGGCCACUGACUCUCUGGCCCAUCUGCCUCCCCACAGUGCUAUCUAUUUCCUGCUGGGAACCUGGCUGGGCCAAGGGCAGGAUUGCAGGGAGCCCCUGCGGUUUCCCUCUUGGACCCUGCAGCUGGCCACUCUGCACAUUAGCUUUGGUGGCUGCCAUGUGGAGGGCCAUGCCUACCUUCUGCCAGGCCACCUGGAGCAUCUCAAGGCCAUUGAGGCCGAACGGAAAGGUGAGGGGACUGGAGUCUGGGAAGACUGUCUGUGUUGAAGUUCAUGGGCUAGCGUUCCCUUAGAGGCAGUGGAGCCCUUCCUAUCUUUGGAAAGGCACAGAAACUGUCAGGUGUGUGCAUGAAACUUUCUCUUUAUCCUGCUCCAGAGCCAGCUCCAAAGCUCCUGCCACUUCCAGAGCCAGAGCCAGUGCCAGCCCCCGGGCUGGAGCCAGCUGCACCUCCAGUCUCACCACGUGUGGUAUAGCUGGAGCCAGCAGCCCCUGAGUCGGCCACUCCAGGACCAGGGCAAGGGCCACCAUUAGAGGCAGCCCCAG
rnacentral:lncRNA from 1 species